rnacentral:rRNA from 1 species
GAUGAACGCUGGCGGCGUGCCUAAUACAUGCAAGUCGAGCGAACAGACGAGGAGCUUGCUCCUCUGACGUUAGCGGCGGACGGGUGAGUAACACGUGGAUAACCUACCUAUAAGACUGGGAUAACUUCGGGAAACCGGAGCUAAUACCGGAUAAUAUAUUGAACCGCAUGGUUCAAUAGUGAAAGACGGUUUUGCUGUCACUUAUAGAUGGAUCCGCGCCGCAUUAGCUAGUUGGUAAGGUAACGGCUUACCAAGGCAACGAUGCGUAGCCGACCUGAGAGGGUGAUCGGCCACACUGGAACUGAGACACGGUCCAGACUCCUACGGGAGGCAGCAGUAGGGAAUCUUCCGCAAUGGGCGAAAGCUUGACGGAGCAACGCCGCGUGAGUGAUGAAGGUCUUCGGAUCGUAAAACUCUGUUAUUAGGGAAGAACAAAUGUGUAAGUAACUAUGCACGUCUUGACGGUACCUAAUCAGAAAGUCACGGCUAACUACGUG